ACUUGUACUGUGAACUGCGAAUGGCUCAUUAAAUCAGUUAUCGUUUAUUUGAUAGUACCUUACUACAUGGAUACCUGUGGUAAUUCUAGAGCUAAUACAUGCUAAAAACCCCGACUCACGAAGGGGUGUAUUUAUUAGAUAAAAAACCAACGCCCUUCGGGGCUCCUUGGUGAAUCAUAAUAACUUAACGAAUCGCAUGGCCUUGCGCCGGCGAUGGUUCAUUCAAAUUUCUGCCCUAUCAACUUUCGAUGGUAGGAUAGUGGCCUACCAUGGUGGCAACGGGUAACGGGGAAUUAGGGUUCGAUUCCGGAGAGGGAGCCUGAGAAACGGCUACCACAUCCAAGGAAGGCAGCAGGCGCGCAAAUUACCCAAUCCCGAUACGGGGAGGUAGUGACAAUAAAUACUGAUACGGGGCUCUUUUGGGUCUCGUAAUUGGAAUGAGAACAAUUUAAAUCCCUUAACGAGGAACAAUUGGAGGGCAAGUCUGGUGCCAGCAGCCGCGGUAAUUCCAGCUCCAAUAGCGUAUAUUAAAGUUGUUGCAGUUAAAAAGCUCGUAGUUGAACCUUGGGCCUGGCUGGUCGGUCCGCCUCACCGCGAGUAC
rnacentral:rRNA from 1 species